GACAAACGCUGGCGGCGUGCUUAACACAUGCAAGUCGAGCGGUAAGGCCCCUUCGGGGGUACACGAGCGGCGAACGGGUGAGUAACACGCGAGCAAUCUGCCCAUCACAUCGGGAUAACUCCGGGAAACCGAAGCUAAUACCGAAUACGACCACCUCCGGCAUCGGAUGGUGGUGGAAAGUUCCGGCGGUGAUGGAUGAGCUCGCGGCCUAUCAGCUUGUUGGUGGGGUAACGGCCCACCAAGGCUUCGACGGGUAGCCGGCCUGAGAGGGUGACCGGCCACACUGGGACUGAGACACGGCCCAGACUCCUACGGGAGGCAGCAGUGGGGAAUAUUGGACAAUGGGCGAAAGCCUGAUCCAGCAACGCCGCGUGAGGGAUGACGGCCUUCGGGUUGUAAACCUCUUUCAGCAGGGACGAAGCGCAAGUGACGGUACCUGCAGAAGAAGCACCGGCCAACUACGUG
rnacentral:rRNA from 1 species